CACGGGUGCAUAACACGUGGGUAAUCUGCCUCAGUCUGUUGGAAUAACUAGCCGAAAGGUUAGCUAAUACCACAUAAGCUCACGGCUUCUUCGGAAGCUGUGGGAAAAGGCGGCCUCUGUAUACAAGCUGUCGGAUUGAGAUGAGCCCGCGGCCCAUCAGCUAGUAGGCGGUGUAGAGACCACCAAGGCUAUGACGGGUAGCUGGUCUGAGAGGACGAUCAGACACACUGGAACUGAGACACGGUCCAGACUCCUACGGGAGGCAGCAGUUGGGAAUAUUGCGCAAUGGGCGAAAGCCUGACGCAGCAACGCCGCGUGAGCGAUGAAGGUCUUCGGAUCGUAAAGCUCUUUCGGCCGGGACGAAAACCCACUACUUCAUACGUGGUGGCUUGACGGUACCGGAAGAAGAAGCACCGGCUAACUCUGUGCCAGCAGCCGCUGUAAUACAGAGGGUGCAAGCGUUGUUCGGAAUUAUAGGGCGUAAAGCGCGUGUAGGCGGCUU
rnacentral:rRNA from 1 species